rnacentral:rRNA from 1 species
GUGGGGAAUAUUGCGCAAUGGGGGCAACCCUGACGCAGCAACGCCGCUUGAGUGAUGAAGGUCUUCGGAUUGUAAAGCUCUGUUAAUCGGGACGAAAGAGCCUAGUGUGAAUAAUGCUAGGAAGUGACGGUACCGGAAUAGAAAGCCACGGCUAACUACGUGCCAGCAGCCGCGGUAAUACGUAGGUGGCAAGCGUUGUCCGGAUUUACUGGGCGUAAAGGGCGCGUAGGCGGGAUAGCAAGUCAGGUGUGACAUCCGGGGGCUUAACCAUCGAACUGAACUUGAAACUGUUAGUCUUGAGUGAUGGAGAGGCAAGCGGAAUUCCUAGUGUAGCGGUGAAAUGCGUAGAUAUUAGGAGGAACACCAGUGGCGAAGGCGGCUUGCUGGACAUUAACUGACGCUGAGGCGCGAAAGCGUGGGGAGCAAACAGGAUUAGAAACCCGUGUAGUCC